GGUUUUAUAGUCAAUAUAUGAUAUUAGACUGCAAUUCUAAAGUAGUAAUUUUACUAAAACC
rnacentral:tRNA from 1 species